rnacentral:rRNA from 1 species
CAGUCGCCGCGGUAAUACGGAGGGGGCUAGCGUUGUUCGGAAUUACUGGGCGUAAAGCGCACGUAGGCGGCUUGGUAAGUUAGAGGUGAAAGCCCGGAGCUCAACUCCGGAAUUGCCUUUAAGACUGCCGAGCUAGUAGGUGAGAGAGGUAAGUGGAAUUCCGAGUGUAGAGGUGAAAUUCGUAGAUAUUCGGAAGGACACCAGUGGCGAAGGCGGCUUACUGGCUCAUUCUAGACGCUGAGGUGCGAAAGCGUGGGGAGCAAACAGGAUUAGAUACCCCGGUAGUCCCUGUCUCUUAUAC